AACGCGAAGAACCUUACCUGGGCUCGAAAUGCAGAGGGCGAUAUCAGAAAUGGUAUUUUCCGCAAGGACUUCUGUAUAGGUGCUGCAUGGCUGUCGUCAGCUCGUGCCGUGAGGUGUUGGGUUAAGUCCCGCAACGAGCGCAACCCUUAUCAUUAGUUGCCAACACGUAAGGUGGGGACUCUAAUGAGACUGCCUAGGUUAACUAGGAGGAAGGUGAGGAUGACGUCAAGUCCGCAUGGCCUUUAUGUCCAGGGCUACACACGUGCUACAAUGGUCGGUACAGAGGGCAGCAAGACCGUAAGGUGGAGCAAAUCCCAGAAAGCCGAUCUCAGUUCAGAUUGUGGUCUGCAACUCGACCACAUGAAGUCGGAAUUGCUAGUAAUGGCGAGUCAGCAACAUCGCCGUGAAUACGUUCCCGGGCCUUGUACACACCGCAUAC
rnacentral:rRNA from 1 species